GAUGAACGCUGGCGGCGUGCCUAAUACAUGCAAGUCGAGCGAACAGAUGAGGAGCUUGCUCCUCUGACGUUAGCGGCGGACGGGUGAGUAACACGUGGAUAACCUACCUAUAAGACUGGGAUAACUUCGGGAAACCGGAGCUAAUACCGGAUAAUAUAUUGAACCGCAUGGUUCAAUAGUGAAAGACGGUUUUGCUGUCACUUAUAGAUGGAUCCGCGCCGCAUUAGCUAGUUGGUAAGGUAACGGCUUACCAAGGCAACGAUGCGUAGCCGACCUGUGAGGGUGAUCGGCCACACUGGAACUGAGACACGGUCCAUACUCCUACGGGAGGCAGCAGUAGGGAAUCUUCCGCAAUGGGCGAAGGCCUGACGGAGCAACGCCGCGUGAGUGAUGAAGGUCUUCGGAUCGUAAAACUCUGUUAUUAGUGAAGAACAAAUGUGUAAGUAACUAUGCACGGCUUGACGGUACCUAAUCAGAAAGCCACGGCUAACUACGUG
rnacentral:rRNA from 1 species